CAGUCGAACGAAGCACUUUAACCUGAUUCUUCGGAUGAAGGUUUUUGUGACUGCCUUUCGGACGGGUGAGUAACGCGUGGGUAACCUGCCUCAUACAGGGGGAUAACAGUUAGAAAUGACUGCUAAUACCGCAUAAGACCACGGAGCCGCAUGGCUCAGUGGGAAAAACUCCGGUGGUAUGAGAUGGACCCGCGUCUGAUUAGGUAGUUGGUGGGGUAACGGCCUACCAAGCCGACGAUCAGUAGCCGACCUGAGAGGGUGACCGGCCACAUUGGGACUGAGACACGGCCCAAACUCCUACGGGAGGCAGCAGUGGGGAAUAUUGCACAAUGGGGGAAACCCUGAUGCAGCGACGCCGCGUGAGCGAAGAAGUAUUUCGGUAUGUAAAGCUCCAUCAGCAGGGAAGAAAAUGACGGUACCUGACUAAGAAGCCCCGGCUAACUACGUGCCAGCAGCCGCGGUAAUACGUAGGGGGCAAGCGUUAUCCGGAUUUACUGGGUGUAAUGGGAGCGCAGGCGGUGCGGCAAGUCAGAUGUGAAAACCCGGGGCUCAACCCCGGGACUGCAUUUGAAACUGUCGGACUAGAGUGCCGGAGAGGUAAGUGGAAUUCCUAGUGUAGCGGUGAAAUGCGUAGAUAUUAGGAGGAACACCAGUGGCGAAGGCGGCUUACUGGACGGUAACUGACGCUGAGGCUCGAAAGCGUGGGGAGCAAACAGGAUUAGAUACCCUGGUAGUCCACGCCGUANACGAUGAAUACUAGGUGUCGGGGCNCAUAAGUGCUUCGGUGCCGCAGCAAACGCAUUAAGUAUUCCACCUGGGGAGUACGUUCGCA
rnacentral:rRNA from 1 species